AUGGUGAGGAAUUUUUACCAAACAGGUAUAAGGCCUUCACAUAUAAGCGAUAGUUACAUUGCCCUUAUUCCUAAAAAAUUGGUCUCUCAAGUGCCUUCCGAUUAUCGACCAAUAAGCCUUUGUAAUGUCAUUUACAAGAUUAUUUCCAAAACUUUGGCCAAUAUACUCAAGCCUCACCUUCCUGACUAUAUUGAUCCUUCUCAACAAGCCUUCAUUGAGGGUAGGCGCAUUUCCAGUAACAUCAUUUUAGCUCAAGAAAUUACUCACUCCUUUGCCCUUAAAAAUUGGAAACAACAAGCUUUCUUGCUUAAAAUUGACUUGGCUAAGGCUUUUGAUCGCCUUGAAUGGAACUUCAUAGUUUCUACCCUUUCACGCAAAAGGCUUCAUAGGCAUUUCAUAAAUUUGAUUUACGCUUGCAUCUCUUCCCCUAAAUUUUCAGUAAUUAUCAAUGGUCAUCCUUUCGCCAACUAUCAUAGUAGUAGAGGAAUAAGACAAGGAUGUCCUUUAUCACCUUAUCUUUUUGUUCUUGCUAUUAAUGAACUUUCUUUGAGCCUCCAUGAUGCUAUGGUCAAAAAUCGCUUGUCUGGUAUCUCUCUUGGUCCUUACUGUCCACCUAUUCACUCCAUGCUUUUUGCUGACGAUUUAUUAGUUUGUGGCAAUGCUACGGUGCAGGAAGCUAAUCAAAUGGCCAAUCUCAUCAACCAUUUCUGCUCGCAUUCUGCUCAGACUCCGAAGUGGGGUAAAUCUUCUAUUCUAUUUAGUGCUAAUGUGUCCCAGUCUUUAGCUCAACAAAUCAGCCAUAUUUACCAUGUUCCUCUCAUUGAUAGUAGAUCUACACAUCUUGGGCACCCAUUAAUCCUCCCAGCUAAAUACUGUGCUUCUGCUUACAACUUCGUCUACCACAAAUUUAAGAACAAGCUUCCCACCUACAACGCGAACAAGUUGUCCCAUGCAGCGAGGCUUGAGCUUAUUAAUUCUAUGUUUGCCUCCAUCCCUGUCUAUUACAUGUCCAAUAUCCUUUUCACUAAAAAAUUCCUAGCAAAGCUCACUUCCAUCAUCAGAAACUUCUAG
rnacentral:rRNA from 1 species